rnacentral:rRNA from 1 species
GACGAACGCUGGCGGCGUGCCUAAUACAUGCAAGUUGAGCGCUGAAGGUUGGUACUUGUCCCGACUGGAUGAGCAGCGAACGGGUGAGUAACGCAUGGGGAAUCUGCCUUUGAGCGGGGGACAACAUUUGGAAACGAAUGCUAAUACCGCAUAAAAACUUUAAACACAAGUUUUAAGUUUGAAAGAUGCAAUUGCAUCACUCAAAGAUGAUCCCGCGUUGUACUAGCUAGUUGGUGAGGUAAAGGCUCACCAAGGCGAUGAUACAUAGCCGACCUGAGAGGGUGAUCGGCCACAUUGGGACUGAGACACGGCCCAAACUCCUACGGGAGGCAGCAGUAGGGAAUCUUCGGCAAUGGACGAAAGUCUGACCGAGCAACGCCGCGUGAGUGAAGAAGGUUUUCGGAUCGUAAAACUCUGUUGGUAGAGAAGAACGUUGGUGAGAGUGGAAAGCUCAUCAAGUGACGGUAACUACCCAGAAAGGGACGGCUAACUACGUG